GAUGAACGCUGGCGGCGUGCCUAAUACAUGCAAGUCGAGCGAACGGACGAGAAGCUUGCUUCUCUGAUGUUAGCGGCGGACGGGUGAGUAACACGUGGAUAACCUACCUAUAAGACUGGGAUAAUUUCGGGAAACCGGAGCUAAUACCGGAUAAUAUUUUGAACCGCAUGGUUCAAAAGUGAAAGACGGUCUUGCUGUCACUUAUAGAUGGAUCCGCGCUGCCUUAGCUAGUUGGUAAGGUAACGGCUUACCAAGGCAACGAUGCAUAGCCGACCUGAGAGGGUGAUCGGCCACACUGGAUCUGAGACACGGCCCCGACUCCUGCGGUAGGCAGCAGUAGGGAAUCUUCCGCAAGGGGCGAGAGCGUGACGGAGCAACGCCGCGUGAGUGCUGAAGGUCUUCGGCUCGUAAAGCUCUGUUGUUAGUGAAGAACAUAUGUGUAAGUAACUGUGCACAUCUUGACGGUACCGAAUCAGAAAGCCACGGCUAACUACGUG
rnacentral:rRNA from 1 species